GCUAGUUGGUUGGUGUGCUGGCUGGUGGCCAUCGAUGUCCAUUCUCUGCUGCGGGCACUCGCUCGCUGCCGCCAUCGGCCUCGCUCCCUCGCCCGCUGCCUCCACCGCCAAAGCGGGGCCAAUUGGACAUCGAUGAGGAGCGGAGUGCGUUCGCUCGCUGCCGCCGUCGGCUCGAAGAGGGGCGGGGCCGCCGUCGCGGCUGGUCAAAGCGGGACCAGACUGACAUCGAAGAGGGACGGAGCGCGCUCACUCGCUGCCGCCGUCGCCUCGAAGAGGGGGCGGGGCCGCCGUCGCGGCUGGUCAAAGUUGGGCCAGACUGACAUCGAAGAGGGACGGUGUCUACCUUAGUUCACUCUUCUGACGACGUUGACAACCGGGGAGCAGCUCCUACUUCUGCUGCUUUAGUUGUCUAGCUAAACCAUGCUAAGGCGACCGUAGGGCUGACAGAGCACAGUUUUUGCAGAGUCAGUAGGCUAGACUUCGAGGCCCCUUGUUCGCCUUCGACGGACACAGCGUCUACUUGGGUGAGCCGGGAAAAGUGUGCGUUACACCUCGACGACCUGCUGCCGCUGGAGGAGAGAGACUAAGUCGAGUCUAUUUGUAUAGUUGACACCUUCUUUCGGAUCUUGAUUCUUUACGACCAUGGUGUCUGCCACUACUCUAAUGGACGACCUGACAAGUCUGGCUGUGGGGCGUAAUGGGUCUUUUUAUACUCGUUCACAUGUACAACUUCGGUCUCCAUGCUGUUUGAUGUUCUAUGGGUGGUGGUAGUUGUGGCCCACUACUCUCGUCACAUGGCGUAGUACCUGUAUACUACGCACGACGAUACGUAUUUGUUACUGUGGUGUGUUCGUACGACCUUGGUUAGCAUCUCUGCUCACUCCAUCUUUUACUUCGACGAUUACCGUGCCUGUGACCGAUGUAACUUUCGACCUGAUUUCAACAAGUAGUUGUUUGGAUGCUAGUUCUGAUGCUCGGACAGAUACAAGAGUUUGGUUUUUGUGCUCUAGUACGCGUUCGAUGUGGUGCGCACGUUCGUCUAGUGAGUAACUGUGCACCACAAGGCGGUUGUUUUCUACUUCGGUAACGGUUGUAGUUUUGACCCGUAGGCGUUAAGCGAAAGUCGUUUUGUUGACGUCGUUGUUCCCAAGACGAGUUUUGUUAGAGGAGUGUCUUGGGUAAUACCUCGGUUGUAGGACACUCCUUUGCGUCGUUGUCUGGCUGGAGUAGUGCUGACCAUGGUGGCGCUCUAGGUGUUGAGGCACACGGCAGUGUGGUGGUACAGGUUAUGUCGUACCUGUGAACGUUUGUGGUCGUCUCGAGGCUAGUAUGUGCGUGUUGUGUCUGUAAGGACGAGUUGAUUAAGGUCACGAUCCUGUCCUUAAGUUAAGUAUACUGCUACGUAAGUUAAAAAAAUUACUGAUGCGGUUUGUACAACCCAAGCCCUAUUCCUUUCCUGUCUUUUUAUUCUUCUUUGCGAUGAAUAUAACGCAUGUGAGACCGUUUAUGUGUAGGAGACAAGUGCUACGUCUAGCAGUCGCGUUGUUUCAUUGUUUUUCUUGACUAACGUUCUGUUACUACGAGAACUUUCUUUCUCUGCUGCCCUGAACACAACAGUUUCUGUAACACUAACUUGUGUUGGUGUCCGAGGAACUGUCGGGCAGGUGCGAGCAGAAAGACGUAAGUGUGUUUUGCUAUCUAGGUUGUCAUUUUCUUAUGUAUUUUCUGGACGUAUUCUGUUUACAAUUCGUACACUUAUAGUACUCAGAGGAAAGAACCAAUAGACCACCCGCGCUGUUUAACGGAAAAUGUCUGUUCCUGCACGAAUUGUAGUUUCGUCUUAAACGUUCCUGACUAAGCUUUCUACUACACCUCUUUAACAAACUAAGAAACUCCUCUACUUCUUACUCUUACUCUUAAAGAAGAAACUACAUCUGCAACCUUGACUACUACUACCAUUCUUUUAAUAGUCUUUAUAUAAGACCAGGUUACGAUCGACGGUCCGACGUAUGCGUCUAAAGCCACUGACGCAGUGCAAACUGUGGUGUAUGUUUUGCUUGUUCAUAGUGUACGGAAACCCCAAAAAACAGUCACACUUAUUAGUAGACGUUAGAUGUUAAAAACCUCAACGGAACCACCCCUUACUCUCAUCGCUGAGUAAGCUUACCUAAAAAUUACGAAAAUUCGCCACGUACGCUUUUCUGGGUUGAACGUAUGAUUGUCUAGUUACGGGACGGUACUUUCGUCGAUAUGGAUUCCAGAAGGAGUCUUGAGUAGUGGCGGAGACGGCUACCGUGUAAUACUUUUUUUAUUUUCUAGUAAACAGUUUUCAUAUGAAUCUUGUACUGUGUAAAUUCCUUCUGGAGCGUCGUCAGGAAUUGGUAGGUGAGUACGGUCGUCUCAAACUUCGUCGUACCGUGCUGGAGUACCUGUGCAUGUUGAAUGUCUUACUGUGGUAGGACGACCCGGAUACCCUUCUCUCUUGUUGUACCUAUAGACGUAUGACCUUCCUCUAUAAGACGCGGUCUUACUGCAGUCGUGUUUCUUCGCUUUCGUACUUAGUAUAGGACUUUUUUCCAAAGCACUUUCUUUGUGUUCACGAAGUGUAUAAACGGUCUGUUCAGUUACUUACGUAUGUCUUCUCCGUGGUCGAACUCCAACGGCUCUGUUAUCGAAGUUGCCCACAGUCUUUGGGAGAGUGAUCCAUGGAAAAGCUCUUUGUCGACUACCUGCACAUGUGUGCGCGACUGAUGUGGAAUAAGGCACUUUCUGAGAAACUUUCGCCGCGGAAGGCUUAGUUUGUCAGUUGACCCGUACAUUGCUUCAUGAUGCAUGUGGUGAUGUUGGUUCUCUUUUAUAAGUGUACCAGUUCCGUGCUUAAGGUCCACCAGCGACUACUUUGUUUACCGCUUAUGCUUACGCUCACGUUUGAGACUAGUGUGUCCUGAUAAGACGGUAGUGUAUUAACGUGACAACCUUGUGGACGCUCAUCGAUAUUAUGGUCUAGCCAUGUAUGACGUUGCCAUGUGUUCCCUACGUUUAUCACUGAGCCGUAAGUUGGUGUCUCUGAUGUCCUUAUGUUGACAUCUACCAUGUGAUUAAGUUAUGGCGGUGUGUUUCGACGACUUGCUCUGUGACUUUUGACAGGUCUUCCCCCAUUUCUGUCUACGUCGAAUGUUGUCCGACUACUGUACGGACUUUGUUCACGUUGGUCUCGAUCUACUAGACUUGCCACUACUGUAUCUCAGUUGCCUUACGUUUGUUAGUAGACAUCUACUUUUACUUCAACGGGGACUAUACCGUCUUGUUUUUCUAGGUUGCUAACUCUUCAGUUCAUACCUACUACUAGCGCUGUUUUAUGUGGGUGGGGGUCACACGUUUUGUUUUCCAUCUUUGUUUGACUCACGCCGGUACUUUGUCCUUGUUUUCGGUUGACUUUAGUCACUCUUUUAGUCAAGUUUUUGACGAUCCGGUCUCGGUCAAUAACCUUUUCUGCCGUACGGUGAUCCCUCGUCUGAAACGUCGUUGACGUUAUACUAAUCACCCGUGUUGUUUUCUUGAACGCACUUUUCCGUCGAUCUCGUUUUCGAAGACGUUCGUGUACUCUUUUUCAUACCCGGACACCUGUUUAGGUACCAACGACGUUGAUAGUUCUUUGACGACAGCUUUCGUUGAUACUUCCUCCUUCGAUAGUUGCUGUCGUUUUUAUACUCACUACUGUCAUUACUUUUUCCACCAUCACUGCUUCUGCGACUCGGAAGUGGUUUCUCCUACGUGUAGUUGUUUCUACAACCCUUUCCGUUCUAGAAGUUCUUUUCUACGUUUUUUACAUUGUUCCAGCUUCCCGUGUUGUGAGCAUGCACGCUACAUCAGUCUUAUCCGUUACUCUAAGACCUUUACUGUCUCGUCUACCAAGUGGUCCCUGUCCUGCUCCGUACAUUAUCUUUCGUGUUUUGUUGCAGAGUCUUCGAACGUCCCCGUUUUC
rnacentral:rRNA from 1 species